rnacentral:tRNA from 1 species
GCCUGGGUGGCUCAGUCGGUUGAGCGCCUGACUUCGCCUCAGGUCAUGAUUUCAGUUUGUGAGUUCGAGCCCCGCGUUGGGCU